CCGAAUUCCUGCCGGAUUCCGUAGGUUUCACUCAGGAAGGAGGCGCCCCCAUCCCCCUCACUCCGGGCCCGGGCUGAGCCAGGGGAAUGGCAGGUUCUUCCCGAAGGAAGGAGGCACGCAGCCCCGUGGCCCGGGCAGGACGAAUCCCGGGCGUUCUGCCCGCGCGUGCCACCACGUAGCCCCAACCGAGGGCAGGGAACAUUUAAAAGCUGCUUUCAAGCUCCCGCCCAGUCCAGACUGGGAAUUCGGUGUCACUCGUGGAGGGCCCAGCCCUGCCCUGCCCCCGACCGCGUCAGCUCCCUCCCGCAGCAGGGCCUUCGCAAAGGGGAGGGGAACGAGACCAUUAAAGAAGCACAACGUUUUAUGAAUUCGCUUCACUCCCGCCCACUCAGGGCUUGGUGGUGUGCACCUCUGAUCCCAGCACUGGGGAGGUGGAGACAAGAGGACCCAUGCUGUUUGCUAUUCAUCCAGCCUGGAUAAACUGCUCUAAGUGGAGUGAGAAACCCUGUUUCCAAAGAGUCCCUGGACAAGUGACGGCCUUUCAGUACCUCCGCUUUGGUGUCUGUACAGAAGUGCUGAUGAUGUCACGUCAUAGGGUCACAGUGAUGAGCCAGGAGGACAGCAUGGUAGCUGUCAGCAGGCGCUGGCUUGACAGUUCUCACGGGUGGCAAUGGAGCACCUCUGUGAGGAAACCAGUGGGAAUAUGUGUCCCUUGGUGUCCCGCUGUCAGUCCUUGGGGCUAGCUGGCCAUCCUUGAAGUUUGAAGGCUACCAUCUUCCUGUGACUGUGUUCAGCAGAUGAGGUCUCCACCCACAAAAACACUUUCUUAUCACUUCUUGUGUGCUGAUCGAGGAUUCUGCAUAGCGGGGGAGAUGCCUGGGGAGAUCUGAGGUGGGGAGCCCAGGAGAAGGCUCUGCCCUGGAGGAGAAGGUCUGACGCCAGGAGAAAGGGACCAGACCACUGCAGCUCUCGUUCUCUCCCUCAUCACCGACCUUCUCUGGGUCUCUUGUUUCUACUGCUCAAGUUUACUUUAACUUUGUUUGUAUGCGUGUUUCACCUGCAUGCAUGUUCAUGAAUCACAUUCAUGGGGGACCAGGAGAGAGAGCUGGAUCCUUUGAUACAGGAGUUACAGACAGUUGUGAGGUGUCAUGUGCAUGCUGGGAGUCGAACCCAGGUCCUCUGGAAGAGCAGCCAAUGCUCCCCCCCCCCCCACGACAGGAUUUCUGGCUGUCCUAGAACUGGAACUUGUGUUGUAGACCAGGCUGGCCUUGAACUCACAGAACUCUGCCUGUCUCUGUCCCUGAGUGUUGUGGGGCCUGUGCCACUACAGCCGGCUCAGUCAGUGCUCUUAACCACUGAGUCAUCUCUGCAGACCCACUGCUCAAAUUUAUUCAGAGUUCCUACCCUCCACCUGUCCUCCCUCCCUCCUCAUUCACUCAUGAAGGAGAGAGGGGCUCAUGUAGCUCAGGGUGACCUCAGACUCCUAGGAAACCAGAAAGGGUUACCUUGAACUUCUGAGCCUCCACACCUUAUAUGUCUCCAAACCCAGCUCAUGAGGUGCUGGGGAAACAAAUUCAGGGUUUCAUUAAAGCUAUGGAAGCAUUCUACCCACUAAGAUAGAGAUCUAGACCUCUCCUGGUCCCAUAUCCAUUUAACAAUUGUGUGUGUGUGUGUGUGUGUGUGUGUGUGUGUUAGUGGUUAAAAGCAUUUGCUGCUCUUGCAGGGAAUUGGGGUUUAGUUUCCAGUACCCACGUGGCAGUUCAGUCAUCUAUAACUUCAGAUCUAAGGGGUCUGAUAUCUUCUGGCCUCCACAGGUACCACACAUACACAGUUUAUAUAUAUAAUAAACUCUUUCCCUCCAA